UGCAGGUGGUGGAGGGAAGAGUUGGGGAGGCCGACAAGGAUGGAGUUUCCGUGAGGUGUUCACUCCUCUGGAAACGAAAGACCAAAAGAAAAGGCGACAGCCUCCCUCAGACACUUGCUUAUCUCAAGGUUGAGAAGCAGGCAGGUUGGAGAAGGCUGCCAAAAGCAAAAGUUGCCCAUCUCUCUUUGUCCCCAUCAGUUCUUUUCUCAUGGGGAAACCAGUCGGCUCAAGGUCACUAAAAGCUUGAGGAGAGUGGGGAGCUUACUCCAUUUUCUUUCAGAAGAAAAACUAGAGGAAAAGAAACCAUCUUGUGAAAGAUGAAGUAGAUGAAAGGUCAUCUACCAACUGGAUAAAGAGAGAUCGAUUUGUGAAGAGAAUCAGAAGAGACAGGGAGUUGGAACUUGGGAGUCGUGAACCAUACGCCAGCUUCUAAAGAAGGAAAAUCAAGACUAAGACUUAGACAACUUUAUCGAUACUCUCAAACAGGCAUCAGUACCGCAGUACCUGGAUACCUUUCCGUUGCCUGAGCAGGCAGCAGUGCGGUACCUGAAUACAUUUUGGUGGACCUUAAAUUGGACGUUACUCCUCCAUCUCCUCCACAAGAUUUGGUUUGGCCGACCUUAAUCGUUGUGAACUGUACGUGGACACGUAAGCAUUAUUCUGCUAAAUUAUUUUAACUACCUACAACCAUUAUUAAUCUGAAUUAAUAAACAUCUAUAUUUUGCUAUAA